ensembl:lncRNA
AUGAUGGACCAGUCUAAACAGUGGGACUACUACCCUCCAGGACCGGGACCAGGACCAGGACCCAGACGGGAGGACAAGAGGGAGAAGGAGAGAGAGAGACCCAGGGAGAGACCACAUGAGAGGGAGAGAGAGCGAGAGCACAGCCCCUCCACUAUGGCUUACAACAGUGACGAGGAGCGGUACCGUGGUUACCGGGAGUACCAAGCGGAGCGUGGCUACAGCGGCGGUGACCGUGGAGGGGGGGAGCGUGGCGGUGACCGUGGGAGUGGUGGUGAGCGUGGUGGUGGAGGCGGCGAGCGCCACAGAGACAGGUCGAGCCGUGAGAAGGAGGAGAGACACAGAGAGAGAAGACACAGAGAGAAGGAGGAGGGGAGACACAAGUCAUCACGCAGUAGCAGCAGGAGGAGACAUGAUAGUGAAGAAGGAGACGGUCACAGGAGACACAAACACAAGAAGAGCAAGAGGAGCAAUGGGAGGGCAAGGAACCCAGUGAUGACAUGGGAGGAGACCAGGAGAACCAGGACCACCAUGGAGUGAUGAAGAGAACACCCUCCUCUCCCUCUGUCCCUCUUCAUCUCUCUCUCUCUGUCUACAUGGGAGGAGACCAGGAGAACCAGGACACCAUGGAGUGAUGAAGAGAACACCCUCCUCUCCCUCUGUCCCCCU